rnacentral:lncRNA from 1 species
AGAGAUGUGACAGAGAAUACCGGGCCUGAAGAAAGGACCAAGCAGAACCCACAGGAGCAUCUAGCCCAAGGCAACUGUGUUGCCAACUUUCAGUUGUGGCAGCACGUGUCUGAGAUAAACAGCUGAAAACAAGGAGAGUUUCC